rnacentral:rRNA from 1 species
GUGGGGAAUAUUGGAAAAUGGGCGCAAGCCUGAUCCAGCCAUGCCGCGUGAGUGAUGAAGGCCCUAGGGUUGUAAAGCUCUUUCACCGGUGAAGAUAAUGACGGUAACCGGAGAAGAAGCCCCGGCUAACUUCGUGCCAGCAGCCGCGGUAAUACGAAGGGGGCUAGCGUUGUUCGGAAUUACUGGGCGUAAAGCGCACGUAGGCGGACAUUUAAGUCAGGGGUGAAAUCCCGGGGCUCAACCCCGGAACUGCCUUUGAUACUGGGUGUCUGGAGUAUGGAAGAGGUAAGUGGAAUUCCGAGUGUAGAGGUGAAAUUCGUAGAUAUUCGGAGGAACACCAGUGGCGAAGGCGGCUUACUGGUCCAUUACUGACGCUGAGGUGCGAAAGCGUGGGGAGCAAACAGGAUUAGAAACCCCGGUAGUCC